ACAUGAAAAUCUGCUGCCCCCUACAAACGAGUAGUUCGAGAAACUCGAGUCUCAGAACUACAACUCCCAGAAUGCCACUGAACUAACUUCCUUUGGGGCCCUCACGUCCUAGUACAGGAAGUCCUAGAACUCGCUGUGUCGGCGUCUCCUCGGUUAUCGGGCAGAGACCGGGUGCUAAGGUCCAACUGCACAGACGGUGGAGCACUGAUAACUGACCCAUUGUCAGUAGCAUCUGAAGCCCACAAGCUGGAGGGAACUUGGUUAGGAGCCAGAUGGUUAGAAGGGGUUGAAGCACAUAGUCAGCACUGACCUCGCCUUGUGAUCAGGACCCACUUCACACCUGCAACGUAGGAGAGGCUGAGGGCAACUGUUUAGUCCAACUGAGGGAUGUGUGACCCCAGAAUGUGCUGGAGUUGGAAGUGGAGUUCAGAUCAUUCAAAUCACUGAAGCAACCUGUGAAACAAUGCUUUGC
rnacentral:lncRNA from 1 species